UUAUAGCUUUCACUGUAAACACAACAAACCUCCUGUAACUAGGAAUUUUUUAUAACUUCAGAAGCUGACUUACUUAAUAACUUAUAAAUGAAUAUCUCUGUGUUUUCGAGUGACAACUCAAAGCAGUUUGGAGGCCAACCUUGAGCUUUCCAGAUCUUCUAUGUUAUGAGUGUUUUUUAAAUGAUAGUCACUGUUCUUUUAGGCUUACACAACAUCAAAAAGAUAAAUGUGGAUCUUCUAGCUUAUGUGAAAUUCAACAAGCAGCUUUUAAAUGUCCAUAUGCUCCAUAAAUAGCAACAUCUCGAUAAAUGUAAAUCUCUGUCCAACAGAUCCCUCAGGGGAGACGAGUGGUUCUGGAUGUCUGGACAGUCCAUGAAUUUCUUGAAUUGGCCACAAGAUUUUGUUCCUGACAGCUACUCCAGCACAUGUGGGGGCAUGACCAGCAGAGAGCACCUCCUGUGGCAGGACCAGCCCUGUGAGGAGAACCUCAACUUCAUCUGCCAAUCAGGUGCUCAGGACAGUGUGCAAAGAGUCGACUUUGACAGCACCGCGAUUGCCACACGUUCACAGUAAAGGUGGAGACUGCCAACUGGCUGGUUUAAAGAAGUUCCCGUGUGAAUUGGAUCUUAACCUGCAGCUGGCAGCCACCUCGGCCCUCUGCUUGCCUCCUCUGCACCUAACAACAAGCUGAGUUCUACUUAAUGAAAUCUUUGUAAAUAGUGAAUUAAAAGGCUAUCUUGUGCUAAAUGCUUAUCCACUGUACAGACUGAGCUCCCUAAAACGACUGACGUAGGCGUGAGAACAGUUUUCUGUUGAAAUCCUUUCCCUCUUGUUUAUCUAGUUUAGAGAACUGGUAUUGGUUUGCCUUUUUUUUAAAUUAGGGAAAUUAGACGCUUCAGUUUGUUGUUUUGGCUUUGCUCACAUGCAAGACAAACAAACACCUCCUUAGACUCUUGAAUUGCACUGCAUUGGUUCUUUUUUCUUCACUGUGGUACGAGUGACGUUUGAGACUUUCAAGCCACACAUCAACAAAUGCAUGCUGCAUUCAUAUCCUGGAGGAAAACUGGGGUUUUUUGGUGUACUGCUAUGUCCAUCAUAAAUAAAUAAAUUUUUUGUCCUCUUAGCUAAAAAAAAUAACUAUAAACUAUAGAAAAUAACUCCUUGGAACCAAAGUCCAACAGGUUAAACUUCAUAGGCUAUGUUAAGCAUUGUGUUUGCUCUGUCCGACAGAUCCCUGAGAGGAAACAACUGGUUCUGAUGAAUUAUUGUGAAUUAUUGUGUGUAUUCUGUAUACUGAAAUGCAUGUUUUAUUAGAUAGAACGAGAUUUUAAUUUGAUGUCUUUCAUUGUUGUAAUGGUGUGCAUAAUUCCUUGUAAGGCUGUAAGAUGUUUCUGCACCAAAUGGAAUCUGGCUGUGAUUCCUGAACAGUUAAAUCAUUAUAACUGAAAGUCUGAUUUAAAUGUUUUAGUAGUGAUGCACAGAGGCAGAAUAAAACAAAAUGUCACUGUCUAAAGACUUACGCUGUGUUGUUGUUUUAUAUCCAAUGACCCAGUUCUAAAAGGCCGUGCUUUGAAACAGUUGCACAUAGAAAGCAUCGUGAGUGCAGAACAUGAGGGCACAUUCUCUCAAUUGUAUCUUGCAUUACUUUAGGUGUGGCGCAGUCCUGUAACUUAAAAGGAACAGGUUUAAGUAACGUGUGUUGACAAGUGUCUAAUAUAAACUGAGUGACGACGAACACACCCAAAGUUUGAAAAUGGCCUGACCUGGUCCUGCCUGUUCUCCUUGCCUGGUGUCUCUGCCAUGUGUAGGCUCAGGCACUCCUUUGAAAUGACACUCCUCUAAUUUACAGUGCAUUGUAUUAUUGCUGCUAUUAUUAUCAUUAUUAUUAUUAUUAUUAUUGGUAGUAGUAAUACUAGUAUUAGUAUUAGUAUUAUUUAAUCUAUAGAUCUUUAAAGUCUUUUGUCCUGCACAUCUAACACAAUCACGUGUGUUAUUAAAAAGACUAAAGAUAUCUCCUCAGUGUUUUUAUUUUAGUUAUUUUUCUAGUCCAGUUAGUUUUUCUUUUCUUUUUUUAAUGUCAAGCUUUAUUUAUAUUUAUUUUCAUAAACUAACAUGUUUUUUUCACAUCAGAUUUUAAAUUUCAGUUUAGUUUUUGUUACCUACAAUACACCAUAUUGCCAAACGUAUUCACUCACCCAUCUAAAUGAUUGAAUUCAUGUGUUCCAAUCACAGGUGUACAAAAUGAAGCAGCUAGGCCUGCAGACUGCUUCUACAAACGUUUGUGAAAGACUGCGCUCG
ensembl:lncRNA